CGAGCACAAGCAGGUCCUGCAGCAGGUGUGAGGGGUUUGUCACUCUCACCACCCAGCUGUGGGGGAAUCUGCCGUUAAGAAACUGGAAAGGAACAUUACAGCACUGCUCAAAAGCCAGGUGGAUUUACAGGCAGCUGAAAGUUCUACAGGACCAACACUACUUUGGAUGACACCCGUGGAGAACUGGAAAAAGUGCAGGAAAUGUAGUUGAAAAAAUAUAAUAAAAAUUAAAAUAUCAAGGUCCUUUAA